rnacentral:rRNA from 1 species
GGACCAUCAUGUCGGUCGUGCCUCGGUACGUACUGGUAUUAUUGGUUUCUCCCUUCUGACGAACCAUGAUGUCAUUAAUUUGAUGUCGUGGAGAAUCAGGACUGUUACUUUGAAAAAAUUAGAGUGUUUAAAGCAGGCAUUAGCUUGAAUACAUUAGCAUGGAAUAAUGAAAUAGGACGUUUGAUCCUAUUUUGUUGGUUUCUAGGAUUGACGUA